GUUUUGAUUCUAAAGGGUUUGAUCAAAGGAGAAGUUGGUUCAGUUUCUAUUCUUCUAAUCUCUGAAAAAAGAUUCUUGGACAAGUUUGUAAUCAAGUACAAGAACAAGCACCUGAAUUGUCAGAUGUUUUUCACAGGAAAAUUGAUCUUUCUGAACUAGGUUUUGGAUUUGAUGAAGAAUUUGGAGAUUCAGCAAUAAAGCAUACAACAGGUCAUUGCAAAUCGGAUGCAACAUUAAUACAUUAAGGCUAUGUUUGGUUGGCUGUAAUGGACCAUAUAAUGGAAUGAGAAGUACAUGAUGGGUAAGAUUACAAUGUUUGAUGGGCUUUUUCUUAUAUUCCAAUGUAAUUAAUGUAAUGUCCGUUACAUCCAAACACUUAUGUACAAUUCAUUUCAUUCUUAGAUCCUGUUGUCCUCUUCAAAGCUGACCCAUUAUCAUUUCCCUGUUUUGUGCACUCUCUCUAUUCCACCUCGCCUUUGCUCACCCAUUGUGCUGUUGCUCACCACUGCAACUGCUGUCACCAACGCCUUCUCUGACAGCAGCCACUGAUCUGUGCCCUGUGCCCUGUGCCCUGUGCCCUGUGCCCUGUGCCUCUUCAUCUUCAGUUAUGGCAUAAGGAAUAGCGGAGUUGAAUUCACAAUUGUUGUUUGCUAAUUGCUAGCAGAGUUGUUUGCUGUCGAUACUGUUUACUUUUGUUUCUUCCUCUGCUUAGAAUAUUCUCACUUUGAAGGAAAAUUGACGAUCUGUGUUGGAUAAUACCAAAUUACCAAUGGAGUGAGUGAAGUUUCAUGUGAGUUUUAUGAAAGUCAUUAGUGUACAACUUUACAACCCCCCACCCCUCUCCCCCAGCAUUAUUGUAUUGGACAUAGAUCUAAACUUCUGAUACACUGGAUUUUGAUGUCAUCUUGUUUGAAUGUUGAAAUUUAAAGCUUGGGUGUGCUAUUUUCAAUCUUGCAAGCAAAUACUUUCUGAAAUGUAAAGAAUUUGUUGAUAAA